GUGUUGAACCCUGCCUCCCAGCCCCCACAUCACCCAACCAACCAGCAGAGAUCCUCCUUCCCAAGAAACAGAUAAAGAAACUGAGGCCCAGGAAGGCUAAGAGUCCUGCCAGGAUUAUUCACCUUUCAAGCAGCCAAGCAAGCACUGGCUGUGAGAGAUGGCUGUGAGAGAAGAUUAAAACAAUUACAACUCACCCAGUUCACAGAUGCUGAGUAACUGAUCUCCUGCCCCACUAACCUUAACGACAGCUUUCUCUGGACAAGGGACUGAUUUCAGUAACUUUCUCCUGAUAAGAGACCAUCCUCCAUGGACUGGUUCUGGCCAGUUUUAGAGGCUGUGCCUUUACGAGGCUGAGUACCUUCAUGUCCCUGCUUCACUUUUUGAUGUGUAGGGCCUAAUUAUAAUACAUUUAAAUGUCAAGUCUCCACCCCAGAAUGAACAUGCAUGUUUAUUGAAUAUGCAUGUGUUAGGACCUCUUUUAUGAGUAUUCUCAUAAAAUGAUAUAGCUCCUCUGAUAUCCUAUUGAGUAUGUAUAUGUAGCCAACUCAUUUGGCUCAAAUUCCUGUCCUCUCCCUCCCUCCCUGGAAAUGCCUGCCUCUGGCCUUGGCUGUAGGCCACACUUCCCAGCCUGUCAUAAUGGCCACC
rnacentral:lncRNA from 1 species